GUGCUCACUUUGGCAACACAUAUACUAAAACUGGAACCAUACAGAGAAGAUUAGCACAGCUCCUGUACAAGGAAGACACGCAUUCUAUUUAGUUAUGAUCAAGAAAA